AGGUUUCCUGCAGAAAAUCAUGGGAAGCUUUUGAGCAGGGGAGUCAGAAGAUGAGCGGACCUGGAAGGCCUGGAAGCAUCUGGAGAAGGGCAUGGCUGUGAGUAGAGAAACAGAGGAUACAGGCUAAAGCAGGAGGAAGCGAGAGGACUCACGGAAAGCCUUGCUGCACUCUCCAAAAGAGCUGCCCUUUUCACGUGAAGAGCUAUGUGAUCGGAUCCCCGGUUUGGCAGAGUAGACAUGCGAGAAGACUGAACGUUUCAUCGUUGAAACCUCUUAAAGGUGGAAUGUGUGGCAGAAAGAACGUCUGAGAAGCUCACGCGAUUUGCAGAAGGAACAUUUGUAGAAGAUUCCCUGUUUUCCGAAGGAAUGUCAAGUUCCAAAGGACACAUAUUGCUUGUCUCUGAACUUCUCAGCUGCCUGCAGAUCUUCCUGUUUUUCAGCUGCAGUUAGGGUUUGUCUGAGGAGAAGCAUAACAUCCCUCCAGGCCAAAUGCUCCACAAAUAAAUGUGUUGAAUGAAUGAACAAAUGAAUAAGCGAAGUGAAUGGAACAUCAAACUGCAUAAAAAUAUAUUUAUUCAUAAAUGAGAGGUGAUGAUUGCCAACAUAUCAUAAUCAGACUCUGACCUUGGUUACUUAUGAGUUUGACAACGAAGAGGAAAGAGGAUCAGAAUGGAUCUACAUUUGUCCUGUGUCAAUGGCUAUCCAGAAGCGGUAACUUUGCUGGUGCACAGAAAGUGCCAGCUUAACGUGUGUGACGGUGAAAACACGACACCUCUGAUGAAGAUAUAUAGUAGCCAGUUAUUUCAGCAUGAGAUGGAUUUGGUUUAAAUACAUAGAAUAAAAAUGGAUUUAUUUCAUUGAAAUGUAACUAAUUUGUGAACCUAUGGAAUAUUUAUUUGUAUUUUCUAGAAUUUACAAUGUGUUUCUUGGUCUAAUACUGACAGGCUAUACAAUGCCAAGAAGAUGUUUAUGCAACUAUUCUGCUGGACUUUGGUGCCUAUCCAGAUAUUACAGAUAUCAACAGAAAAACUGCUCUCCACUGUGCUGUCUAUAGUGAGAAUAUGUCAGUGGUGGCAAAACUGCUUUCACACAACACAAACAUCUAAGUGAAAAAUGGAGUAGAGAAUAACCAACAUUAUUUUCAAAAUAUUUGAAAUCCAUUUGCUUUAACACUGACAUGCGUUAGGGUCAGUUUUUCAUAUUUGGAAGCUCAAGCAUGCUCUUCUGUGAAUGAAAAUAUUCUGAAGUAACUGUCUAAUAAUUUAAAUAUUAAUGUUUUUAAAGAAGUAUUAGACGGUAUAGCUUUCUUUCAUGCAUUUAUGAUAAAUAUUUAAAUUUAUUAAAGGUAAAAGUUUGUUUUUCAAAUAUUUUAGCCACUCAAGUUUUUGUUCUUUCUAAUUAGUGUAAAACAACACAGAAAAGCAAAAUGUGCCUGCAUAAACUGAGUCAACAUGUAAACCUUUUGAUAUUUAUUAUUAAAUAAGUUAUUUGGCAAUGUAUCAAAUUUUUAAAUGUGUGUCCCUUUUGACCUAGAAAUUCUACUCCCAGGAAUUUCUCCUAAGAAGAUAAUCAGAAAAGUUUACAAAGAUGAAUAGAAAAGAAGAGUCACUGCAGCCUUAUUUGUAAAAGUGAAAAAUAGCAACAGCCCAAAUGUCAUGAAUGGAGAAUUAAUAUAUGGUGCAUCCAUACAAAAAUACUGUGCAGCGAGUAAGCCAAUGAAGCCCAAAAUUUCUGACAUGGACAUUGACAUAGCAGAGUGACAAUAACGAGGUUAUAAAACAUCAUCAGUGAAAGGUCUAUUUGUACAAAUUAAUUUUUUGAGUGUAUACUUAGG
rnacentral:lncRNA from 1 species